CUGAUCCUUUCUAUCAUCAAACUCUCGUCAAAGGAAUAAACCUUGAACCAUUGUUCAUUUGAGAGACUAUUUUUUGGGAGUUGAUUUUAAUCAUCUCUCAUAUGCAAUUGCUCUGGCGGAAAGGAAGUGAAACGGUGUUUUGGACUUAAACACUGCUGUGGUUUCAUUAAUAUUCAAGGGUAUAUCAAUUUUCGUGGAUAAAGUUAAAAUCAUGGUUUCAAGGAUACUUAAAUUCGUGGCCAAUGAUCCUUUCAAUACAAAUUAUUAGUAGAAAUUGCACUUCAAUGAACACUUAAUUUCAUGGAUAAACUUAACAACGAAAUCCACGAAAAUUGGUAUUCAACGAAAAUUGAUGAAACCACAGUAUUUUAUUCUAAACGGUUAUUACACUAGUUUAUGACAAAAAAAUAACAUACUCAAAAUUGUUAAGUUAGACCUGAUGGGUAAUUUGCUGACUACCCAGCGUCCUUAAAGAUCAAAGCAUGGAGACCAGAGAGUGUAGAUCUCCGUUUAAUUAUUAUCGUGUCCUUUUGCGACUGACAGCUGAUCAUCUGUAACUGAUGUUUACCAAGAAACAUUGACCAGUUACUGCAGUGUUCACGACGUUUUGUCACCGUCAGGUUCAGAUAGUUUGGCAAGGAGUUUAGAGAAGAGCCCUUUGUGAGAUUUGCCAUCAGGGUGGGUCACCAGAACAUCCACAUCCCCACAGGUUGGCUUACCCCGGCGGUAAGACCCACAGCACUGGGCAAUGACACCGGGGGCUAGGAACUCCGCAGCUUCUCUCACCUGGAACAGAACUCGGAGAAAGUCUGCUGGUGGAUUGCAAAGAGUAGAGAAAGUUUUGAUGCUCCUGAUCGACUGGCACAAGUUAUAGAGAGAAAAAAACUGAACGUUGCUAAAAAAAGAAAAAGUCAAAAAUUGUU